rnacentral:ribozyme from 1 species
GAUGUUUUGACUCAUUCACCUCCACGCGGUAAGUAUCGGGAUACGUUGUACAUCAACGGCUAAGAAAUGAGA